UCUCCUGGAAAACGGGUGGUAAUACCGGAUGCUCCGCUCCAUCGCAUGGUGGGGUGGGAAAUGCUUUUGCGGCAUGGGAUGGGGUCGCGUCCUAUCAGCUUGUUGGCGGGGUGAUGGCCCACCAAGGCGUUGACGGGUAGCCGGCCUGAGAGGGUGACCGGCCACAUUGGGACUGAGAUACGGCCCAGACUCCUACGGGAGGCAGCAGUGGGGAAUAUUGCACAAUGGGCGCAAGCCUGAUGCAGCGACGCCGCGUGCGGGAUGGAGGCCUUCGGGUUGUAAACCGCUUUUGUUCAAGGGCAAGGCACGGUUUCGGCCGUGUUGAGUGGAUUGUUCGAAUAAGCACCGGCUAACUACGUGCCAGCAGCCGCGGUAAUACGUAGGGUGCGAGCGUUAUCCGGAUUUAUUGGGCGUAAAGGGCUCGUAGGCGGUUCGUCGCGUCCGGUGUGAAAGUCCAUCGCCUAACGGUGGAUCUGCGCCGGGUACGGGCGGGCUGGAGUGCGGUAGGGGAGACUGGAAUUCCCGGUGUAACGGUGGAAUGUGUAGAUAUCGGGAAAGAACACC
rnacentral:rRNA from 1 species